rnacentral:rRNA from 1 species
AAUAGAUACCCCGGGGUAGUCCAUGCCGUAAACGUUGGGCACUAGGUGUGGGGCUCAUUCCACGAGUUCCGUGCCGCAGCAAACGCAUUAAGUGCCCCGCCUGGGGAGUACGGCCGCAAGGCUAAAACUCGAAGGAAUUGACGGGGGCCCGCACAAGCGGCGGAGCAUGCGGAUUAAUUCGAUGCAACGCGAAGAACCUUACCAAGGCUUGACAUGCACGGGAAGCCACCAGAGAUGGUGGUCUCUUUGGACACUCGUGCACAGGUGGUGCAUGGUUGUCGUCAGCUCGUGUCGUGAGAUGUUGGGUUAAGUCCCGCAACGAGUGCAACCCUCGUCCCAUGUUGCCAGCGGGUUAUGCCGGGGACUCAUGGGAGACUGCUGGGGUCAACUCGGAGGAAGGUGGGGAUGACGUCAAAUCAUCAUCGCCCCUUAUGCCUUGGGCUUCACGCAUGCUACAAUGGCCGGUACGAAAGGGCGUGCGAUACCGUAAGGUGGAGCGAAUACCAAAACGCCGGUCUCGAGUUCGGAUUGGGU